rnacentral:rRNA from 1 species
CUACGUAGGUGGCAAGCGUUGUCCGGAAUUAUUGGGCGUAAAGCGCAUGUAGGCGGUUUGGUAAGUCGGUCGUGAAAAUGCGGUGCUUAACGCCGUAUGGCGAUUGAAACUGCUGAACUUGAGUGCAGGAGAGGAAAGGGGAACUCCCAGUGUAGCGGUGAAAUGCGUAGAUAUUGGGAAGAACACCGGUGGCGAAGGCGCCUUUCUGGACUGUGUCUGACGCUCAGAUGCGAAAGCCAGGGUAGCGAACGGGAUUAGAUACCCCGGUAGUCCUGGCCGUAAACGAUGGGUACUAGGUGUGGGAGGUAUCGACUCCUUCCGUGCCGGAGUUAACGCAAUAAGUACCCCGCCUGGGGAGUACGGCCGCAAGGCUUAAACUCAAAUGAAUUGACGGGG